rnacentral:rRNA from 1 species
UGGGGAAUAUUGCACAAUGGGCGAAAGCCUGAUGCAGCGACGCCGCGUGAGGGAUGACGGCCUUCGGGUUGUAAACCUCUUUCAGCAGGGACGAAGCGCAAGUGACGGUACCUGCAGAAGAAGCACCGGCUAACUACGUGCCAGCAGCCGCGGUAAUACGUAGGGUGCAAGCGUUGUCCGGAAUUACUGGGCGUAAAGAGUUCGUAGGCGGUUUGUCGCGUCGUUUGUGAAAACCAGCAGCUCAACUGCUGGCUUGCAGGCGAUACGGGCAGACUUGAGUACUGCAGGGGAGACUGGAAUUGCUGGUGUAGCGGUGAAAUGCGCAGAUAUCAGGAGGAAAACCGGUGGCGGAGGCGGGUCUCUGGGCAGUAACUGACGCUGAGGAACGAAAGCGUGGGUAGCGAACAGG